rnacentral:rRNA from 1 species
CCGCGACCCGACCCAACGGCCACCAAGGUCGCUCGCCCUUCUCACAGCCGCCGCGCGCGCUAUAUUAUAGCCGGAGCAGCGCGCGCGCCUACGAGCACUGCACGGUCCCCCCUCCCUCUCACAGGACGCAACAACCAGCCCACCGCCCCCGAUUGUCGCCGUCGUCGGGUCUCUGCUCUCCGUCUCCCACGGGAGCCUGUGAUCUGCGCCGCACUGUGCCAUGUCGUCGUCGUCGUCGUCCACCGCGGCGGCGGGCUCCGCGCUGGGCGGCUCCCACGCCGGCCUCGCCCUCGCCGCCACCGCCAUGGCGCUCUCCGGCACCCUCGUGCUCUUCUCGCUCUGCCGCGCCAAGCAGACGGACCACCACCUCGUCUCCUCCGACGCCGCCGCCACGUCCCCGUCUCCCGCCCGGCUCCGGCCCUGCCUCUCCUCCUCCGAGAAGCGGAAGCGGGAGAAGGCGCGGCGCGGGAGCAUGAAGCGGGUGCGCUUCGCCGCCGACGUCGUUGACCACGGCCCAGCUCGCCCGGCGCCGGAGGUGGAGGAGGCGGUGGCGUCGGGGCCGGGGCCGUCCUGCAGGGGCGCCGCGAUGCCGGCGAACCGGGAGGCGCUGUACCGCGGCAUGCUCCGCGGCCGCUCCAUGCUCAGGACCGCCUGCUCCUACUAAGCUGCCGGCGUCAAUUAACCCCCGCCGUUUAAUCCAUCCCAUCCCCGUCUUAGUCCGGCCGAAGCUGCCAGUGCCUUUCGCGUUUCUUGUUCAUUAGCGUCGCCGCUGAUUGGGAGAUUUUUGUAAUUAGUGAGCAUCCCGUACGCUACGCGCGAGCGAUCUGUGUGGUGCGUCUUAUUAAUUGUUCUACUCGUUGUCGUAACUCGUACGAGUGCGUACUGUUUCUACCUGCGUAAGUAGCCAAAUUGGUCCAAGAACAAGGGGUCCUUGCAUUGUUCUACCUGAUCUAAUGGUUAAUGAAAGUUGCCUUUGAUCCUGUUCUUCAUUUCAUUCC